rnacentral:misc_RNA from 1 species
UCUUUUCUUUUGAUAAGAGAGUUUUUAAAACCAGUGUUAUUUUUGUAAGUUUAAGAGAAGUUUGUGUAUUGAAUUUUUUAUUUUUAAUAUUAAAGAGCUUUGUUAAACUUAGACUUAAGUUUAGGUCAUUUUGGGGGUUUAGCUCAGUUGGCUAGAGCAUCGGCUUUGCAAGCCGAGGGUCAAGGGUUCGAGUCCCUUAACCUCCAUUGGGCUUAUGUCCUAAAUUGUAAUUAAGUAUGUUUUUAAGCAACUUUAUUAAAGUAAUUGUUGGAAUGUGAAACAGAGAAAGUUAAAAUUUCUGGGUUAAGUUGAGAUCUGUUGAUAUUAAGAAGAAUCUCUAGAAGCAAAAGCAAGCUUUCGAUAAAACCCGAAGUUGUUUCGCUAAAGUGCAAGGAUUAAACAGGAUUGUAUUUUCCAGCAGCCUAUUUUAUAAACGAUCUGCAUUUAGUAAAUAGUUUUUAGUUAAGAAAUAAUGUAGAUUGCUAAGUGUGAUGUC